AUUGAACGCUGGCGGCAGGCCUAACACAUGCAAGUCGAACGGUAACAGGAAGAAGCUUGCUUCUUUGCUGACGAGUGGCGGACGGGUGAGUAAUGUCUGGGAAACUGCCUGAUGGAGGGGGAUAACUACUGGAAACGGUAGCUAAUACCGCAUAACGUCGCAAGACCAAAGAGGGGGACCUUCGGGCCUCUUGCCAUCGGAUGUGCCCAGAUGGUAUUAGCUCGUAGGUGGGGUAACGGCUCACCUAGGCGACGAUCCCUAGCUGGUCUGAGAGGAUGACCAGCCACACUGGAACUGAGACACGGUCCAGACUCCUACGGGAGGCAGCAGUGGGGAAUAUUGCACAAUGGGCGCAAGCCUGAUGCAGCCAUGCCGCGUGUAUGAAGAAGGCCUUCGGGUUGUAAAGUACUUUCAGCGGGGAGGAAGGGAGUAAAGUUAAUACCUUUGCUCAUUGACGUUACCCGCAGAAGAAGCACCGGCUAACUCCGUG
rnacentral:rRNA from 1 species